CAUUAGGUUGAUUCUGCCUAACGUAGAUGCUAGUCUCUGAGAUUAAGCCAUGCAUGUCAGUGAAGCCUUACGGUGGAACGGCGAACGGCUCAGUAAUGUUGCGGUAAUUUGGUCUCUGUGUGUAAACUAACCACGGUAACCUGUGGCUAAAGCGGAGAUAAGGCGCACCCUAUCAGCUGUUGGUAUGUAAGGACUACCAAGGCCUGACGGUACGGGAAUCAGGUUGAUCCGAAGGAGCUGAAAUGCUCCACGUCAGACGACAGCCGACUGUCCUCUACGGGAAAUCUGAACUAUUAACUAUGUAGACUAGGACAUGAGCACUGUCGCACCGAUCAUCAAUGCUG
rnacentral:ncRNA from 1 species